GACUCACAAUGCCUUAUGUUUAUCAGUUUGCAACAAAACCUGUUUUUUUCCAAAUAGUUCUGUCAAAAUAGAUAAAUCAAUAGCUUUAUUAAACAUCAUCAGUUGACAGAAGAGUAUAUUCUCCUUUUUUUUCAGAGACAUGCUUUAAAGAAGUAAGGCUUAAGAACUAAUAGAUUUAGUUUUUUAUUGUGAGGAAUUAUUACUCAAAAAUAAGCAACACAUCCUCCAGAAUGUUUUAUAAUACCUUAAAAAAUGAAGUAUUGGAAAUCAUGUGGGAUCAACAAAGAUGAAAUUGAGAUUAUGAAGCCCUUGAGCUCAGGUUGAGAAGAAAAUGCUAAUUGUAUAAACAAAGAAGAAAUAAGUGCACAUCAUUAAAACAUCAACUUUGGCAGAGAGGUGGAACAAGAUGACUGAAUAGAAGGCUCUACUGAUCAUUCCCCACCACUUCAAUGGGAACACCAAGUUUGACAUCUACACAAAGGGAGCACCGUCAAAGGAAAAAAAAAUCAAGUGAGCACUGACAAUGCCUGGU
rnacentral:lncRNA from 1 species